rnacentral:rRNA from 1 species
CUACAGGCUUAACACAUGCAAGUCGAGGGGCAGCAUGGUCUUAGCUUGCUAAGACUGAUGGCGACCGGCGCACGGGUGAGUAACACGUAUCCAACCUGCCGUCUACUCUUGGACAGCCUUCUGAAAGGAAGAUUAAUACAAGAUGGCAUCAUGAGUCCGCAUGUUCACAUGAUUAAAGGUAUUCCGGUAGACGAUGGGGAUGCGUUCCAUUAGAUAGUAGGCGGGGUAACGGCCCACCUAGUCUUCGAUGGAUAGGGGUUCUGAGAGGAAGGUCCCCCACAUUGGAACUGAGACACGGUCCAAACUCCUACGGGAGGCAGCAGUGAGGAAUAUUGGUCAAUGGGCGAGAGCCUGAACCAGCCAAGUAGCGUGAAGGAUGACUGCCCUAUGGGUUGUAAACUUCUUUUAUAACGGAAUAAAGUCGGGUAUGCAUACCCGUUUGCAUGUACUUUAUGAAUAAGGAUCGGCUAACUCCGUGCCAGCAGCCGCGGUAAUACGGAGGAUCCGAGCGUUAUCCGGAUUUAUUGGGUUUAAAGGGAGCGUAGAUGGAUGUUUAAGUCAGUUGUGAAAGUUUGCGGCUCAACCGUAAAAUUGCAGUUGAUACUGGAUAUCUUGAGUGCAGUUGAGGCAGGCGGAAUUCGUGGUGUAGCGGUGAAAUGCUUAGAUAUCACGAAGAACUCCGAUUGCGAAGGCAGCCUGCUAAGCUGCAACUGACAUUGAGGCUCGAAAGUGUGGGUAUCAAACAGGAUUAGAUACCCUGGUAGUCCACACGGUAAACGAUGAAUACUCGCUGUUUGCGAUAUACUGCAAGCGGCCAAGCGAAAGCGUUAAGUAUUCCACCUGGGGAGUACGCCGGCAACGGUGAAACUCAAAGGAAUUGACGGGGGCCCGCACAAGCGGAGGAACAUGUGGUUUAAUUCGAUGAUACGCGAGGAACCUUACCCGGGCUUAAAUUGCAGAUGAAUUACGGUGAAAGCCGUAAGCCGCAAGGCAUCUGUGAAGGUGCUGCAUGGUUGUCGUCAGCUCGUGCCGUGAGGUGUCGGCUUAAGUGCCAUAACGAGCGCAACCCUUGUUGUCAGUUACUAACAGGUUCCGCUGAGGACUCUGACAAGACUGCCAUCGUAAGAUGUGAGGAAGGUGGGGAUGACGUCAAAUCAGCACGGCCCUUACGUCCGGGGCUACACACGUGUUACAAUGGGGGGUACAGAGGGCCGCUACCACGCGAGUGGAUGCCAAUCCCCAAAACCUCUCUCAGUUCGGACUGGAGUCUGCAACCCGACUCCACGAAGCUGGAUUCGCUAGUAAUCGCGCAUCAGCCACGGCGCGGUGAAUACGUUCCCGGGCCUUGUACACACCGCCCGUCAAGCCAUGGGAGCCGGGGGUACCUGAAGUGCGUAACCGCGAGGAGCGCCCUAGGGUAAAACUGGUGACUGG